UAAACGACUCUCGGCAACGGAUAUCUCGGCUCUCGCAUCGAUGAAGAACGUAGCGAAAUGCGAUACUUGGUGUGAAUUGCAGAAUCCCGUGAACCAUCGAGUCUUUGAACGCAAGUUGCGCCCGAAGCCUCGGCUGAAGGCACGUCUGCCUGGGUGUCACACA
rnacentral:rRNA from 1 species